rnacentral:rRNA from 1 species
GAUGAACGCUGGCGGCGUGCCUAAUACAUGCAAGUCGAGCGAAUGGAUUAAGAGCUUGCUCUUAUGAAGUUAGCGGCGGACGGGUGAGUAACACGUGGGUAACCUGCCCAUAAGACUGGGAUAACUCCGGGAAACCGGGGCUAAUACCGGAUAACAUUUUGAACCGCAUGGUUCGAAAUUGAAAGGCGGCUUCGGCUGUCACUUAUGGAUGGACCCGCGUCGCAUUAGCUAGUUGGUGAGGUAACGGCUCACCAAGGCAACGAUGCGUAGCGGACCUGGGGGGGUGAUCGGCCACACUUGGACUGAGACACGGCCCAGACUCCUACGGGAGGCAGCAGUAGGGAAUCUUCCGCAAUGGACGAAAGUCUGACGGAGCAACGCCGCGUGAGUGAUGAAGGCUUUCGGGUCGUAAAACUCUGUUGUUAGGGAAGAACAAGUGCUAGUUGAAUAAGCUGACACCUUGACGGUACCUAACCAGAAAGCCACGGCUAACUACGUGCCAGCCGCCGCCGUAA